rnacentral:hammerhead_ribozyme from 1 species
AUCCAGCUUAGGAGUCACAAAUAGAACGAAACGCGCGUCAAACUGGAU